GCCAGCAUGGUGUAGUGGUUUGAGUGUUGGACUACCACUCUGGAGACCUGGGUUUGAUUCCCCACUUUGCCA
rnacentral:tRNA from 1 species